rnacentral:ribozyme from 1 species
GGGUGAUGGCGGCCGGCGAAAGCCGGUCGUAAACCCCGAGGACCGGUCCAAACGCCGG